rnacentral:rRNA from 1 species
CCCCGGACCAACCCUUUGAAAACGAAGGGUUAAUACGGCAUAUUGUUAGGAGUUGGCAUCAAGACCAUAAGGAAAGGUGGCCUCUGARWAUGCUACCGAUUAUGGAUGGACCCGCGUCUGAUAAGCUAGUUGGUGGGGUAAAGGCCUACCAAGGCGACGAUCAGUAGCCGGCCUGAGAGGGUGAACGGCCACACUGGGAYUGAGACACGGCCCAGAYUCCUACGGGAGGCAGCAGUGGGGAAUCUUCCGCAAUGGACGAAAGUCUGACGGAGCAACGCCGCGUGUAUGAUGAAGGUCUUCGGAUUGUAAAGUACUGUCUUUGGGGAAGAAYGAYUGRUUUGARAAUAUUGAGYCARUAUGACGGUACCCAAGGAGGAAGCCCCGGCUAACUACGUGCCAGCAGCCGCGGUAAUACGUAGGGGGCAAGCGUUGUCCGGAAUUAUUGGGCGUAAAGGGCGCGUAGGCGGAUYUUUAAGUCUGGUGUGAAAGAUCAGGGCUCAACCCUGAGAGUGCAUCGGAAACUGGRGAUCUUGAGGACAGGAGAGGAAAGUGGAAUUCCACGUGUAGCGGUGAAAUGCGUAGAUAUGUGGAGGAACACCAGUGGCGAAGGCGACUUUCUGGACUGUAACUGACGCUGAGGCGCGAAAGCGUGGGGAGCAAACAGGAUUAGAUACCCUGGUAGUCCACGCCGUAAACGAUGAGUGCUAGGUGUAGAGGGUAUCGACCCCUUUCUGUGCCGCAGUUAACACAAUAAGCACUCCGCUGGGA